rnacentral:ncRNA from 1 species
CUUAUCAAGAGUGACAGAGGGAACAGGCCCUGUGAAGUCCGGCAACCUGCUUUUGCAAGGUGCUAAAUCCUGCGGUAUUACCGAAAGAUGAG